CAGUAGCCGCGGUAAUACGAAGGGUGCAAGCGUUACUCGGAAUUACUGGGCGUAAAGCGUGCGUAGGUGGUGGUUUAAGUCCGUUGUGAAAGCCCUGGGCUCAACCUGGGAAUUGCAGUGGAUACUGGGUCACUAGAGUGUGGUAGAGGAUAGUGGAAUUUCCGGUGUAGCAGUGAAAUGCGUAGAGAUCGGAAGGAACAUCUGUGGCGAAGGCGACUAUCUGGGCCAACACUGACACUGAGGCACGAAAGCGUGGGGAGCAAACAGGAUUAGAUACCCCUGUAGUCCCAGUCUCUUAUAC
rnacentral:rRNA from 1 species